GUCGUCAGCUCGUGUCGUGAGAUGUUGGGUUAAGUCCCGCAACGAGCGCAACCCUUAUCCUUAGUUGCCAGCACGUAAAGGUGGGAACUCUGGGGAGACUGCCGGUGAUAAACCGGAGGAAGGUGGGGACGACGUCAAGUCAUCAUGGCCCUUACGGGAUGGGCUACACACGUGCUACAAUGGCGCGUACAAAGGGCAGCAAGCCAGCGAUGGUUAGCGAAUCCCAUAAAGCGCGUCGUAGUCCGGAUUGGAGUCUGCAACUCGACUCCAUGAAGUCGGAAUCGCUAGUAAUCGUGGAUCAGAAUGCCGCGGUGAAUACGUUCCCGGGA
rnacentral:rRNA from 1 species